rnacentral:lncRNA from 1 species
CCCGGUUCAACUAAAGAGUGAUGCAAUGGGGAUAUUUGACCAGUUUGUCGACCCUUUCUGUCAAAUUUCUUCCACCCAUUUGCAGGAUAAGACAAUCAAAGAACUGUUAAAACCAGUUGAACCAGAGAUUGUUGUCGCAAAACAAACAGUAUGCUAUGUGAAACAUGGAGACUCCAGAGUUCUUACCAUUAAGGACCAUUGUUUUCAUUAUAUACCGUUGGUGAAAAGUUUGGAGCAGCUGCUAUCACAUCCAAGAACAAUUGCAAUGAUUGAUGAGAGGCCACAGACAUGCAAGGAUGGAUUUUUUCAUGAUUUCAUUGAUGGAGACAUUUUUAAGUCACACCCACUCUUUUCAAAAUUUCCCACAGCAUUGCAGUUAGUUUUAUAUACUGAUGAAAUUGAGCUAUGCAAUCCUCUUGGAUCUCGGGCAAACAAAAACAAAUUGUUAUUGAUUUAUUACACUUUAGGUAACAUCAACCCUAAAUACAGAUCAAGACUUGCUGCCAUUCGUCUGCUUGCCAUGGUAAAAUCAAAAGAUAUUUCCCGUUGUAUUGAUGAGAUAUUUCAGAGGAUUAACCAUGACUUAACUGAGCUGUGUGAUGGUGUCCAGCUUGUCACUGCAAAUGGUGAGAGGACAAUUUAUGGGGCACUUAUGUCUGUGUGUGGAGACACUCUAGCUCAGCAUGAAGUGGCUGGAUUUAAGAUAGGAGUGGGAUUUGCCUACAGUAAAUGCAGGCACUGCGAAUGCAAGUUUGAAGACAUGCAGGAGCAAUUUAAUGAAGAUUUGUUUGUUAAAAGGACAAUGGCAAGUCAUAACAGGCAAUGUAAUGACAUUGAGAAGGCAAAUACUGACUUUCUGAAAGAAAAUCUAAAAAUGACAUAUGGCAUAAACAGGAGAAGCAAAUUAACAGAAUUUCCUCACUUUGAUAUAAUCAAUCAAACCCCACAGGACAUCAUGCAUGUCAUUCUUGAAGGGGUUGCCCCUUAUGAAAUAAAAUGUGUUUUAAAGCAUCUUGUGCUUUCAGGGCAUUUGGACUUAGAUGUAUUCAACAGUGCAAUUAUUUAUUUCCCUUAUUCUCCUGUGGAUGCAAGGGAUAAACCUUGUCCCAUAUCUGUCAAUACACUGUCAUCAAAUGACAAUAAAUUGAAACAGUCAGCUGGGCAGAUGCUGGUUUUGUUAAAGAUCCUGCCAUUUCUCAUUGACAAAAUUGGAGAAAAUGAUUACACACAAAUGCUACUUAAGUUGUUAGAGAUAGUCAAAAUUCUGUUUUCACCUAUUAUUGCUCUCUCAACUCUUUCAAGG